UAAGUUUGAAAGAUUUGAAGG
ensembl:piRNA 21ur-3242 ncRNA